rnacentral:misc_RNA from 1 species
AAAAUGCGAUAAGUAAUGUGAAUUGCAGAAUUCAGUGAAUCAUCGAAUCUUUGAACGCACAUUGCACCCGCCAGUAUUCUGGCGGGCAUGCCUGUCUGAGCGUCAUUUCAACCCUCGGGACCCCGUUCGCGGGACCCGGCGUUGGGGAUCAGCCCGAAGCCCCCCCGGGGCGGGCGGCUGGCCCCGAAAUCUAGUGGCGGUCCCCCCAGCGACCUCCUCUGCGCAGUAGUAACUCACCUCGCAGCUGGACAGCGGGAGGGCCACGCCGUAAAACCCCCAACUUCUCAAAGGUUGACCUCAGAUCAGGUAGGAAUACCCGCUGAACUUAAGC